rnacentral:rRNA from 1 species
GACGAACGCUGGCGGCGUGCUUAACACAUGCAAGUCGAACGGAAAGGCCCUGCUUUUGUGGGGUGCUCGAGUGGCGAACGGGUGAGUAACACGUGAGUAACCUGCCCUUGACUUUGGGAUAACUUCAGGAAACUGGGGCUAAUACCGGAUAGGAGCUCCUGCUGCAUGGUGGGGGUUGGAAAGUUUCGGCGGUUGUGGAUGGACUCGCGGCUUAUCAGCUUGAUGGUGGGGUAGUGGUUGACCAAGGCUUUGACGGGUAGCCUGCAUGAGAGCGGGAACGGGCACAUUGGGACUGAGAUACGGCCCAGACUCGUACGGGACGCAGCGGUGGGGAAUAUGGCACAAUGGGCGGAAGCCUGAUGCAGCAGCGCCGCGUGCGGGAUGACGGCCUUCGGGUUGUAAACCGCUGUCGACUGUGACGAAGCGUGAGUGACGGUAACGGGUAAAGAAGCACCGGCUAACUACGUG